rnacentral:rRNA from 1 species
GACUCCUACGGGCGGCUGCAGUGGGGAAUAUUGCGCAAUGGGGGAAACCCUGACGCAGCGACGCCGCGUGCGGGAUGAAGGCCUUCGGGUUGUAAACCGCUUUUGAUUGGGAGCAAGCCUUUUGGGUGAGUGUACCUUUCGAAUAAGCGCCGGCUAACUACGUGCCAGCAGCCGCGGUAAUACGUAGGGCGCAAGCGUUAUCCGGAAUUAUUGGGCGUAAAGAGCUUGUAGGCGGUUCGUCGCGUCUGGUGUGAAAGCCCAUCGCUUAACGGUGGGUCUGCGCCGGGUACGGGCGGGCUAGAGUGCAGUAGGGGAGACUGGAAUUCCCGGUGUAACGGUGGAAUGUGUAGAUAUCGGGAAGAACACCAAUGGCGAAGGCAGGUCUCUGGGCUGUUACUGACGCUGAGAAGCGAAAGCGUGGGGAGCGAACAGGAUUAGAUACCCGGGUAGU